GGGGCGUUAGCUCAGUUGGUCAGAGCAGAGGACUCAUAAUCCUUUGGUCGUUGGUUCAAGUCCAACACGCCCUACCA
rnacentral:tRNA from 11 species